rnacentral:rRNA from 1 species
CAGAGGUCUCAAGCGUUGUUCGGAUUCAUUGGGCGUAAAGGGUGUGUAGGUGGCGCUGUAAGUCGGGUGUGAAAUCUCGGGGCUUAACUCCGAAACUGCAUUCGAUACUGCGGUGCUUGAGGACUGGAGAGGAGACUGGAAUUCAUGGUGUAGCAGUGAAAUGCGUAGAGAUCAUGAGGAAGACCAGUGGCGAAGGCGGGUCUCUGGACAGUUCCUGACACUGAGACACGAAGGCCAGGGGAGCAAACGGGAUUAGAUACCCCGGUAGUCCUGGCAGUAAACGGUGCACGUUUGGUGUGGGAGGAUUCGACCCCUUCUGCGCCGGAGCUAACGCGUUAAACGUGCCGCCUGGGGAGUACGGUCGCAAGAUUA